GGAGGCCUGUGAUGAUCUGAAUACUUGCCUACAUUGUCAGAUUGUCUUAUAUAUGGUUGACUAUGGACUACAUUGUCUGAGGCCUCC